GAGAGCUUAAAGGGGGCAGAGUGUCUGUCUGGGAAGGUGGAAAGUUCCAACAUGUGCGUGUGGAGACCGCACAACGAGAAUGUGCCGAGUGCCCCUGAGCUGGGCCUGCCUGGACUCCAGGCCAAAGCUGGGCUGAGAGUCCGUCCGGUCCGGCCUCUUGAGCCUCACGGCACACGACAUGCCUCCGAGCCCACAGCUGGCUGGAGACCGGCCGGGGCUGGACGCACCAGGGAGCACGGUCCUGCUCAGAAAACCCCUGGAGACCAGCUGGCGGUGGGCAGUGCAGGCGCCUGGGCCCCCCACUUUUCCUCUCGUCUCCGCAGGACACAGCAAGCCAGCUCUGUGUCCUCUCUGGUCCCCCGGGGCUGCCCUAAGACAUGCACGGACGGGAGGCUUGGGACAACAGACCUUCACUCUCCCCCUCCUGGAGGCUGGACGUCCGAGACCAAGAUGCCGGCAGCUGAAUAAUACAUGAUCAGUGUCAAAAUAAAUUACAAUCCUUCCAUUAUAAACCACUUUGCUGUCCUACAUCCGCGCGGCGUCUGCCUUCCCUUCCGGAGCUGCCGGGAAGCCGCCCUUCCCUCCCUGCCACGGCUCCGGCACCCAUCUCUGCGCGGCGGAAUGGAAUAUGGAGUUGGUGCCUCCCGGACCCGCAAAACUGGGAACACACUGCAUUCGAGAUUGGUUUUGUGGCCAUAAAUUAUGUAACAGCUUCAAUCCCAAACCAGACCGGUAUUUCCACGUAUGCUGUAAAUAAAAACAGUAAAUGAUU